AAGCGUUGUUCGGAUUUAUUGGGCGUAAAGCGCGUGUAGGCGGGUUCUUAAGUCUGAUGUGAAAGCCCUGGGCUCAACCCAGGAAGUGCAUUGGAUACUGGGAGACUUGAAUACGGGAGAGGGUAGUGGAAUUCCUAGUGUAGGAGUGAAAUCCGUAGAUAUUAGGAGGAACACCGGUGGCGAAGGCGGCUACCUGGACCGAUAUUGACGCUGAGACGCGAAAGCGUGGGGAGCAAACAGG
rnacentral:rRNA from 1 species